AUAUAAAUUACCUGGGAAUCUUGUUAAACUGCAGGUCCUAGUUGAGUGGGCCUGGGUAGUUGGUGGUAAGAGUCUGCAUUUCUAACAAGUCCUUAAGUGACACCCAC
rnacentral:miRNA from 1 species